rnacentral:rRNA from 1 species
CGUGCCAGCAGCCGCGGUAAUACGUAGGUGGCAAGCGUUAUCCGGAAUUAUUGGGCGUAAAGCGCGCGUGGGCGGUUUUUUAAGUCUGAUGUGAAAGCCCACGGCUCAACCGUGGAGGGUCAUUGGAAACUGGAAAACUUGAGUGCAGAAGAGGAAAGUGGAAUUCCAUGUGUAGCGGUGAAAUGCGCAGAGAUAUGGAGGAACACCAGUGGCGAAGGCGACUUUCUGGUCUGUAACUGACGCUGAUGUGCGAAAGCGUGGGGAUCAAACAGGAUUAGAUACCCUGGUAGUCCACGCCGUAAACGAUGA